rnacentral:rRNA from 1 species
AACGAACGCUGGCGGCAGGCUUAACACAUGCAAGUCGAACGGUUGCAGCAAUGCAGCAGUGGCAGACGGGUGAGUAACACGUGGGAACCUUCCUAGGGGUACGGAACAACUCAGGGAAACUUGAGCUAAUACCGUAUACGUCCGUGAGGAGAAAGAUUUAUGCGCCCUUAGACGGGCCCGCGUCGGAUUCGCUAGUUGGUGGGGUAACGGCCUACCAAGGAGACGAUCCGUAGCUGAUCUUAGAGGAUGAUCAGCCACACUGGGACCGAGACACGGCCCAGACUCCUACGGGAGGCAGCUGUGGGGAAUCUUGGACAAUGGGCGCAAGCCUGAUCCAGCCAUGCCGCGUGAGUGAAGAAGGUCUUCGGAUUGUAAAGCUCUUUUGCCAGGGACGAUAAUGACGGUACCUGGAGAAUAAGCCCCGGCAAACUUCGUGCCAGCCGCCGCGGUAA